UACGGGAGGCAGCAGUAGGGAAUAUUGGGCAAUGGGCGAGAGCCUGACCCAGCCAUGCCGCGUGCAGGAAGAAGGCUUUCUGAGUCGUAAACUGCUUUUGACAGGGAAGAAUAACCUUUACGUGUAAAGGGAUGACGGUACCUGCAGAAUAAGCACCGGCUAACUCCGUGCCAGCAGCCGCGGUAAUACGGAGGGUGCGAGCGUUGUCCGGAUUUAUUGGGUUUAAAGGGUGCGUAGGCGGCCAUUUUAAGUCCGGGGUGAAAGCCCGUUGCUCAACAACGGAACUGCCCUGGAUACUGAGUGGCUUGAGUACAGACGAGGUUGGCGGAAUGGACCGAGUAGCGGUGAAAUGCAUAGAUACGGUCCAGAACCCCGAUUGCGAAGGCAGCUGACUAGGCUGUUACUGACGCUGAGGCACGACAGCGUGGGGAGCGAAC
rnacentral:rRNA from 1 species